ensembl:ncRNA F54F3.5 ncRNA
CUUGUUGUUUUGCUGAAAAUUUACUCAAGAAAAUAUGAUGGCAAUAGUAAAACUACCAAAACAAUGGAAGGGUUAAGAUGAGUCAAUAGAAACUCUUUAAUGUCUGUUGGGUCGGCAAGCCAAUCAGAAUCGCCCCAUUACAAAUAAACUGGACGGUUCACCGAAGUGAAAUCAUAUGUUGGAACGUUUGCCUUAAUGUUUCUUGUUUCCCUUCACUCCAUAGUCGAACUUCGGAGCACCUCCAUGCCGAAUCAUUUGAAUCCAGUGCACGAUAUUCUGAUUAGAAGUUCCUGCUUGAGUAUGUGCCACAUAAAUUGGGACACGGGCCUGAAAAUGCUAAUUUAAAGAAGUGAGAAGAAUUAACGUACUGUAUUAAGUUGAUUCGAUUCUGGGCCCGUAAUCAAGAACAUCACAUCAUCACAUACUCCAGCUUCAACCUGGAGACCUGCGCAUACUGAUUGAGAAACAAGCUUCAUAAUCCAAUCCAAUCCAAAAGGAAUUCUCCCGAACCAAAAACAUCGACCCAUCCAUCAAACUCGGGUGAAAAAUAUUCAUCAAGAAAUUUUUUAUUUCAAAGCUCCU